UGGGGAAUUUUGGUCCAUGGGGGAAACCCUGAUCCAGCCAUCCCGCGGGUGCGAUGAAGGCCUUCGGGUUGUUAAGCACUUUUGGCAGGAAAGAAAAGUCAUGGGUUAAUACCCCGUGAAACUGACGGUACCUGCAGAAUAAGCACCGGCUAACUACGUGCCAGCAGCCGCGGUAAUACGUAGGGUGCAAGCGUUAAUCGGAAUUACUGGGCGUAAAGCGUGCGCAGGCGGUUCGGGAAGAAAGAUGUGAAAUCCCAGAGCUCAACUUUGGAACUGCAUUUUUAACUACCGGGCUAGAGUGUGUCAGAGGGAGGUGGAAUUCCGCGUGUAGCAGUGAAAUGCGUAGAUAUGCGGAGGAACACCGAUGGCGAAGGCAGCCUCCUGGGAUAACACUGACGCUCAUGCACGAAAGCGUGGGGAGCAAACAGG
rnacentral:rRNA from 1 species